GGGUCGAUGCCCGAGUGGUUAAUGGGGACGGACUGUAAAUUCGUUGACAAUGUCUACGCUGGUU
rnacentral:tRNA from 1 species